UAUUCCCAAACCGAUCGUGAUAGAUCUUAAACGAUGCGCUCUGUUCAUUAUCGAGAGAUAUUUAUAGAUUUGAUUCACGCAGUUUUUCAAAUCAUCUACUGUACAGUAGCUGCAGUAUCCAAGAUCCAAGCUUUGUUUUUUCCUUUGAAAAUCUCACCAACCAUAUUUCAGCAAUUAACGACAACAGCCGAUGGCAUUCGCGCCAAUCCAGAAAUACAAACCUGGCCUGUUUUCAGUCGCUUAUGUGACUACCCCGACCGAAGGCUCUGCAAUGCAAUUAGCUCGCGAAUUGAUCGGUCGAAGGAUGGCUGCUUGCAUAAACAUUAUCCCAGGCGUUGUUUCGUUCUUUGAGUGGGAAGGCACAAUAGUCGAGCACCAGGAGAGCCUAAUGCUGAUCAAAACUCGCAGUUCUCGGGUGGAGGAACUGUGCGAAUUUGUGAGAGAAAAUCAUCCAUACAGUGUGGCUGAAGUUGUGGUGGUUCCGAUCGAGAACGGAAAUCCGGCCUAUCUGACGUGGAUGUGUAGAAUGGUUACAGAGUAGUGAAUUGCAAACAUAGAUCAAUAAAUGGAAACGUUACUUCAUUUUAGACAAAUAGCUA